rnacentral:rRNA from 1 species
UGGGGAAUUUUGGACAAUGGGCGAAAGCCUGAUCCAGCAAUGCCGCGUGUGUGAAGAAGGCCUUCGGGUUGUAAAGCACUUUUGUCCGGAAAGAAAUCCUUGGCUCUAGUACAGUCGGGGGAUGACGGUACCGGAAGAAUAAGCACCGGCUAACUACGUGCCAGCAGCCGCGGUAAUACGUAGGGUGCAAGCGUUAAUCGGAAUUACUGGGCGUAAAGCGUGCGCAGGCGGUUUGCUAAGACCGAUGUGAAAUCCCCGGGCUCAACCUGGGAACUGCAUUGGUGACUGGCAGGCUAGAGUAUGGCAGAGGGGGGUAGAAUUCCACGUGUAGCAGUGAAAUGCGUAGAGAUGUGGAGGAAUACCGAUGGCGAAGGCAGCCCCCUGGGCCAAUACUGACGCUCAUGCACGAAAGCGUGGGGAGCAAACAGGAUUAGAUACCCUGGUAGUCCACGCCCUAAACGAUGUCAACUAGUUGUUGGGGAUUCAUUUCCUUAGUAACGUAGCUAACGCGUGAAGUUGACCGCCUGGGGAGUACGGUCGCAAGAUUAAAACUCAAAUGAAUUGACGGGGUC